UACAGAGGUCCCAAGCGUUGUUCGGAUUCAUUGGGCGUAAAGGGUGCGUAGGCGGCGCGGUAAGUCGGGUGUGAAAUCUCGGAGCUUAACUCCGAAACUGCAUUCGAUACUGCCGUGCUUGAGGACUGGAGAGGAGACUGGAGUUUACGGUGUAGCGGUGAAAUGCGUAGAUAUCGUAAGGAAGACCAGUGGCGAAGGCGGGUCUCUGGACAGUUCCUGACGCUGAGGCACGAAGGCCAGGGGAGCAAACGGG
rnacentral:rRNA from 1 species